GAUGAACGCUGGCGGCGUGUCUAACACAUGCAAGUCGAGCGGCAGCGAGGGGUGCUUGCACCCUGUCGGCGAGCGGCGGACGGCUGAGUAACGCGUGGGAACGUGCCCCAAAGUGAGGAAUAACUGCCCGAAAGGGUAGCUAAUACCGCAUAUUAUCUUCGGAUCAAAGGAUUUAUCCGCUUUGGGAGCGGCUCGCGUCGGAUUAGGUAGUUGGUGAGGUAAUGGCUCACCAAGCCGACGAUCCGUAGCUGGUCUGAGAGGAUGACCAGCCAGACUGGAACUGAGACACGGUCCAGACUCCUACGGGAGGCAGCAGUGAGGAAUCUUCCACAAUGGGCGAAAGCCUGAUGGAGCAACGCCGCGUGCAGGACGAAGGCCUUCGGGUUGUAAACUGCUUUUAUAAGUGAGGAAUAUGACGGUAACUUAUGAAUAAGGAUCGGCUAACUACGUG
rnacentral:rRNA from 1 species